rnacentral:tmRNA from 1 species
GGGCUUGUACUGGUUUCGACGGGGGUUUUGAAGUUACGGAAGCCAUUGGUGGCGGGGACCACCUAAAAACCUCAAAAAAAAAUAAACGCUGAAGAUAAUUUAGCACUCGCUGCCUAAUAUGGCAGCUGUCAGACCUGGCGCACCUACACGCUAGGACCCUGGCAUCGACUAUGUAGGAAACGAUGCAUCCUAAGCUUUGCGGAUGUAGGCGUAUCAUGAAGCUACUAAGGUUCAAAGCGUGUCUGCUUGCGAUGAACCGAGGGAAUGGCGAAAGCAAAAUAACAGACUGUAAUGGGAGAUGCCGUAGUGGAUGGGCUUUCGGACAGGGGUUCGACUCCCCUCAGGUCCAUAA